CGUGUGUCCCUUGCUGCAGCCUGCACAGGCUUGUUGACGAGCUUGCCCUCUCCCACACAGGACUUCCCAGAGCCUCCAGGUGCACAGAGGAGGCACCCAAAGUGACCAUAUGCACAUCUGAGGCAGGGAGGCUGCUCACUCUUCCCAGGUCCUGUUCCUGCAUGAGGAUGGGGGCUUCCUUCUCAGGUCACACAGCCAGUGGACAGGGCAGGCAGCUGCCUCCUGACCUCCCUGCCUCCUGCCUGGGGAGGAGGAAUCUAUCUGGUGACACUAAUGAAGAGGGAUCCUUUUCUUCAGGAUACUUGAGCGUUGUGCUCCCAGGAAAGACUUCUAUCCACAUCAGCCCUGCCAUCAUCCAGCAGCUGCUGAGCGCCCGCCCGGUGCAGCCCAGCCCUGCAGAGAGGACAGCUCUGCUGACAGCAGCAACUUCGCAUCUGCUCCAACACCCCAGUUGCCCUGCUCCUGUUCUCCCCUGGUUCCAAAGUGUCCUUUUGCUUGCUUUUCAUUUAUGGUGGCAUCUCAGGCCGCCUUGCUUCCGUUCAGAGCCCAAACCAGGGCAAGUCCCAUCACAGGAUGCUUGUCAGCCACAGAGAAGAGCUUCUGAGAGUCCUUGAGUUUGGCCCUUUAUGGUGUCAGGGAGUCUCUGGGCUGUAUGUCCUUCCACAUUAACAAGGACCCAAAGCUAAGAAAGAAGACUUGUAGCAAGUUUCCCAGGAGGAAUUCUGUGGAAGAAUAUCUCCCCUAGGUUCCAUGGGUUUAGGACAAAGACCACAACGUAGGAGCCAGGAAACCCACAGGCCCACAGAUGAUUUUAAAGCUUGUUUCAUAUCUUACAGGAAUUAGUAGCCCACAUCUAUGCAUGGUCUGUUUUACAUAAGAGUCAAUUCAUCUGUCCUGCCCUUCACCCCGAGAACAGUUGGCCCAAGUUGUCCUACUAACUGGGCUGGUGCAUGCCCAUGUGCCACUGUCCCCUCCUCUCCCUACUGUCUGACACCUGUUCUACUGGAAACAGUCACCAAGCCCAGGGGGCCUCUCUAGAUUGGAGUCUCUGCUUCUCUAACACUUUAUCCAGCAAAUAUAUGCUGAGUAUGUGAACCAGGUCAUGUGCAGGGAAUGGGGUGGUCAACCAGGCAGGCAGGGUCCCCGCCUCUGCCCUCGAGGGCUUAUCACUGUGUAGGAAAAAGGGUCCUCAUAUAAUAUGACAGGGGAAGGAACUUUAGCCUCUGGAAUGCCAUCUGGAAGACCCAGGAUGGGCAUUGUGUCCUUUUGUGUGUCCAUUUUUAUUCUCGGUGGCAUGGAUCAGGUCCAGUCUGCAGGAAGUUCCUGGCCCCACGUUAGCUGUGCUUGAUGUUCUUAGUGUUAAAUGUGAAAUGACCCUCCUGAGCUCCCAGCAUUCUCCCGACCUCCCGACCUCCCAAGCACUAGCUCAGGUUGUUCCUUCUGGAAACAGACCUCAGUUUUGGACUUGGUGUCUGUAGUUAAAAUUCUCACCCAGCUGAAACCCUUCAGCAAGCCUCCAAGACCUGCAACCAUAAAGUCUGUCCCCUGAGUCAUCUGAAGGCUAAGGAAAGUCCUGUGAUUUUAAAGUAAUUAAUUGAUGUAUUUGAAGAAGUAAAUUGUCUUAAAGGAA